AACGAACGCUGGCGGCAGGCCUAACACAUGCAAGUCGAGCGGACCUUUCGGGGUCAGCGGCGGACGGGUGAGUAACGCGUGGGAAUAUGCCCUUCUCUACGGAAUAGUCCUGGGAAACUGGGGGUAAUACCGUAUACGCCCUUUGGGGGAAAGAUUUAUCGGGGAAGGAUUAGCCCGCGUUGGAUUAGGUAGUUGGUGGGGUAAUGGCCUACCAAGCCGACGAUCCAUAGCUGGGUUGAGAGGAUGAUCAGCCACACUGGGACUGAGACACGGCCCAGACUCCUACGGGAAGCAGCAGUGGGGAAUCUUAGACAAUGGGGGCAACCCUGAUCUAGCCAGGCCGCGUGAGUGAUGAAGGCCUUAGGGUUGUAAAGCUCUUUCAGCUGGGAAGAUAAUGACGGUACCAGCAGAAGAAGCCCCGGCUAACUCCGUG
rnacentral:rRNA from 1 species